CUACGGGCGGCACCAGUGAGGAAUAUUGCACAAUGGGGGGAACCCUGAUGCAGCAACGCCGCGUGGAGGAUGACGCAUUUCGGUGUGUAAACUCCUUUUAUAUGUCAAGAAAAUGACGGUAGCAUAUGAAUAAGCACCGGCUAACUCCGUGCCAGCAGCCGCGGUAAUACGGAGGGUGCAAGCGUUACUCGGAAUCACUGGGCGUAAAGGACGCGUAGGCGGGUUGGAAAGUCAGGUGUGAAAUCCUACAGCUUAACUGUAGAACUGCACUUGAAACUUCUAAUCUAGAGUAUGGGAGGGGGAGAUGGAAUUAGUGGUGUAGGGGUAAAAUCCGUAGAUAUCGCUAGGAAUACCUAAAGCGAAGGCGAUCUCCUGGAACAUUGCUGACGCUAAGGCGUGAAAGCGUGGGGAGCAAACAGGAUUAGAUACCCUAGUAGUC
rnacentral:rRNA from 1 species